rnacentral:misc_RNA from 1 species
AAUAUCUGAUGUCAAAUAACAGCAAGUGGACAAACAGGUUCAUAACAAGCACAAUCAUGUUGCUUAGUACAUUUGUCCAUACACCUUAGAUGAAUGGCUCAUGUACAUGGUCAAUGCCAUGCCAUCUUGUUGAUGGUUGUAGACCUGUAAUGUGAAAAUCCUUCUGAAACAUUUAAUUUUAAGAUCUUUCAUGGCCUUUUGCAAAUCUAGAUGCAAGAUGGAUUUGAGAGCCUAACAGGCUGGAACACAAAGGCCUCCUUUGCCUCUUCUGACUUCGGCCAUUAACAACAGACCAAAAGACAACUAGUUUAAAUCUGAUUCUCUAAUUCCGCUGGUUUAAAUGUGCUUUGCAAUCUUUCCAAGUAAAUUCCUUUCUUUUUUCACUCUUUAACUGCACCUUCAGGCAAGUGGAAAGAUACUCAGAAACUUCAUGAUUCUGGACAUCAUCCUCUUUGCUCAAAUUACCCAUGCGAAGCCAAUACUUUGAGCAUCAGCGUGUGAAGUGGCAAUUUUCUCUUUGACUUUCAAUGUUGUAGUUCAAAUGGCA